rnacentral:rRNA from 1 species
CCUACGGGAGGCAGCAGUGAGGAAUAUUGGUCAAUGGGCGCGAGCCUGAACCAGCCAAGUAGCGUGAAGGAUGACUGCCCUACGGGUUGUAAACUGCGGUUAUAAAGGAAUAAAGUGAGGCACGUGUGCCUUUUUGUAUGUACUUUAUGAAUAAGGAUCGGCUAACUCCGUGCCAGCAGCCGCGGUAAUACGGAGGAGCCGAGCGUUAUCCGGAUUGAUGGGGUUUAAAGGGAGCGUAGAUGGGUUGUUAAGUCAGUUGUGAAAGUUUGAGGCUCAACCGUAAAAUUGCAAUUGAUACUGGCAGCCUUGAGUACAGUUGAGGUAGGCGGAAUUCGUUGUGUAGCGGUGAAAUGCUUAGAUAUCACGAAGAACUCCGAUUGCGAAGGCAGCUUACUAAACUGCAACUGACAUUGAUGCUCGAAAGUGUGGGUAUCAAACAGGAUUAGAUACCCCGGUAGUC